CCGCGCCUGGUCGCCUCGUUCCGUUCGAUUCCAGAAAGCCGCGCCGGCCCCAGUCCCCAUGGGCUGAAGGCAGGUUGAGUUCUUCCCCAGGUCUGCGAGCCUCGAAGGCUUCUUUCAGACAGCAGACCCCUUAGAAGCGCAAGGCUGCUUUCUGACAAAGAAUCAAGUGUUCCUUUCAACCAGCCAAGGGACUGGUUUUCUCGCUGACCCUUUGACAGCUCCAGCCGGUCCCUCCAUUCGAGGUCCCUGACUUCCUGCAACAGACUGAGAUGGCCUUCUGAGCUUUUCCAGGGCUGACGACCACCUUCUUGAUACCUUCCCCUCUCUCGUUCUGAAUCCGUGCCCACCAGACGGACUCUGGCUCUUGUUGCCCAGACUGGGGUGCAAUGGCGCAAUCUUGGCUCACCAUAACCUCCGCCUCCUGGGUUCAAGCGAUUCUCCUGCGUCAGCCUCCCAAGUAGGUGGGAUUACAGGCAUGCGCCACCUCGCCUGGCUAAUUUUGUAUUUUUAGUAGAGACCGGGUUUCUCCACGUUCAUCAGGCUGGUCUCAAAUUCCUUCACCUCCCAAAGUGCUGGGAUUACAGGUGUGAGCCACUGUGCACAGCCUAAUGCAGAUUUUAUAAACAAUAACCUUGUCCAUUAAAGCAAACCUGCAGACUCGAGGUCUGAUAAACCUGGAGGUUGGAUAAUUCAAGUGUAGCACAGUCAUGCCAUGGAAUAUUACACACCAGAGAAAAGAAGACACGACGCCAUUUUUAGAAAGCUCAAAACAAGUGAAACCAAACGAUAUCGUGUAUAGCAGGGGUCCUCAACCCCUGGACCACAGACUGGUACUGGCUAGUGGCCCAUUAGGAACCAGGCCGCACAGCAGGAGGUGAGUCGUGGGUGAGCAAGCGAAACUUCACCUGUAUUUACAACUGCUCCCCAUGGCUCACAGUACUGCCUGAGCUCCGCCUCCUGUCAGAUCAGCGGCAGCAUUAGAGUCUCAUAGGAGCACAAACCCUGCUGUGAACUAUGCAUGUGAGGGAUCUAGGUUGCACACUCCUUAUGAGAAUCUAAUGCCUGUCUCUUAUCACCCCCAGAUGGGGCCGUCUAGUUGCAGGAAAACAAGCUCAGGGCUCCCACUGAUUCUACAUGAUGGUGAGUUUCAUAAUUAUUUCAUUAUAUAUUAUAAGGCAAUAAGAAUAGAAAUAAAGUGCACAAUAAAUGUAAUGCGCUUGAAUCAGCCCAAAACCAUCCCCCCACCUCCCCCUACCCAUGGAAAAAUUGUCUUCCAUGAAACUGGUCCUUGGUGCCAAAAAGCUUGGAGACCUCUGGUGUAUAGGGUUACAUGUUGUACUCACCUUAUAAGAAGUGGCAGAAAGCAAGUUUAGUGAUAAAACUAGCUAAAAAACAAAGCAAGGGUAUAACAAACACAAAAAUCACAAUGUAGUUAACUCUGGGAUAGCCAAUAGUUUCCCUGGUGUUCAUCUUAUUAUUUUAUUAUGUAGGUGCCCCUUGAUUCUGGGUAUUUUUGUAUGUAUCAAAUAUUACAUAAUUAAAAGCCAGCCAAAGCCAGCUAUCAUGACUGCACUCUCAUUACUCACGCCCCGGGCCUGCAAGCUGUGGUGUGGUUUCCAGGUUCCCCGUGAGCAUCGCCGCAGCGACCGCCCACAGCACCAGCUGCUGAUGGCUCACACCUCCUGGGGCUGCAAGGCCUGUCCCUGGCUCUGGCAGCGAGAUGACAGGGCUGUUGCCCCGGCAGGGUGAGGCCAAAGGGAAUCCAGGCUUUCGGAGAUGAGGACUGGGAGGUCUCCAGACCACACAAGCCCCCUAUUUGCACUGGCCUUUGGAAUGAGCCUACAGCCUGCCUCCACUCCUCCUGGUACCCCAGCUGUUCUCAAGGAAUUGGCCAGAAGUCAGACUCCUUUCCCAGCUGUCCUCCACUUCUUUCCUGCCAGGCACCCUAGGCCCCAUGGUGGGAUUGGGCCUAUAGGCUGUGAUUUUCCACAUCCUUGUCAAACCUGUACUACCUGAAUGCCUAGAGGAAAAGAUACUGCCUUAAUUACUAUUAUGAGCACGAAUGCCUUCUUACUCUUGAAUUUAGCUGAGUGCUGCCUGCAGGUAAAGUCACCUGGAGAACCAUCCAGGGACUUUGUCCUCAUAGGAUCACUUGUACCUCUCUAGGGUUGCUGUGGCAGCUGCCAGAGUGGCCCGGGCCAUGGAUGAGGGCCAGGAUAUGGAAAGCAGAGGCAGAAAUGAGCCCAGAGGCCACAGGGCCCAGCUCUCAGGCUCCCACGGUGAAGCCCAGAGGGUUCCUUCUCUCUCCUGCUUCAGGCUGACAAUGUUUGUCAGCCUCUGCUCCCAACCCCUAUACCCAGCAACCUCUGCGCCCAAGCACAUGGUCUGAAGAAUAUUCUGGUGUUGGGCCCCUGUAGGUGGCCUGCCGUGACGGUGGAAGCCUGGAACGUAGUGACAUGGAUUCAUCAUUGGGAUGUUUCAUCCUAAGGAAACGCACUCGCAGGUGGCUGUAGACCUUGGGGACUCCAGCCUCGUUCAUUUAAGCUCCCACAAUGUUCCAGGCCCUAUGCGGCUUGCAAGGGGCAGAGAGACACAGAAUGACAGCCGACAUGGCACUCUAUUGGUGCACUGGCACUGUUUUUUUUUUUGAGAUGGAGUCUUGCUCUGUCACCCAGGCUGGAGUGCAGUGGCAUGAUGGAGAUGCAACCUCUACCUCAUGGGUUCAAGCGAUUCUCCUGCCUCA
rnacentral:lncRNA from 10 species